rnacentral:rRNA from 1 species
UGCGCCGAAAAUUAACGGGGCUCAAACCUGACACCGAAGCUUAGGAAUACGCGAUGCGUAUUGGUAGAGGAGCAAUGUAUACGCGCAGAAGCCGUACCGGAAGGAGCGGUGGAGUGUAUAGAAGAGAGAAUGCCGGCAUAAGUAGCGAGAGCGGAGCGAGAAACUCCGCCGUCGAAAGUCUGAGGUUUUCCGGGGAAGGUUCGUCCGCCCGGAGUAAGUCGGGACCUAAGCGGAGGCCGAAAGGCGUACGUGAUGGACAACAGGUUGAUAUUCCUGUACUACCGAGAAAGAUAAUGAUGCAGUGACACGGAAAGAUAGAAGAAGCGCGCAGAUGGAAAAGCGCGUCCAAGCAAUGAGGGCGGCUGGUAGUAAAGAACGCCAGUCAAAAAGCCUGAGUUGUGACGGGGAGUGGACCAAGGAAACGAAGUCUUCGAAUCUACGCCGGCGAGAAAAGCUGCUAAAUAUUUCGAGGUACCCGUACCGCAAACCGACACAGGUAGACGAGAAGAAAAUUCUAAGACGAACGGGAGAACCCUUGUUAAGGAACUCGGCAAAAUGACCCCGUAACUUCGGGAGAAGGGGAGCCACUGAAAGGUGGCCGCAGUAAAGAGGCCCAAGCGACUGUUUAUCAAAAACACAGGUUUCUGCUAAGGCGAAAGCCAAGGUAUAGGAGCUGACUCCUGCCCAGUGCCGGAAGGUCAAGGGGAUUCGUUAGCGCAAGCAAAGCGAUGAACUUAAGCCCCGGUGAACGGCGGCCGUAACUAUAACGGUCCUAAGGUAGCGAAAUUCCUUGUCGGGUAAGUUCCGACCCGCACGAAUGGAGUAACGAUUUGGGCACUGUCUCAACAGGGGGCCCGGCGAAAUUGUAGUAUACGUGAAGAUGCGUAUUAACCCGCGACUGGACGGAAAGACCCCGUAGAGCUUUACUGUAACUUGAUAUUGAAUCUCGGCAAUUGAUGCACAGAAUAGGUGGGAGACUGAGAAGCGGGUGUUUCGGCAUCCGUGGAGUCAACUUUGGGAUACCACUCUUCGAUUGCUGCGAUUCUAACCGAAACCCGUGAAACCGGGAACGGGACAGUGUCAGGUGGGCAGUUUGACUGGGGCGGUCGCCUCCUAAAAUGUAACGGAGGCGCCCAAAGGUUCCCUCAGAAUGGUUGGAAAUCAUUCGGCGAGUGUAAAGGCAUAAGGGAGCUUAACUGUGAGACAGACAUGUCGAACAGAUGCGAAAGCAGGGCUUAGUGAUCAGGUGGUAUGAGAAUGGAAUUGCCAUCGCUUAACGGAUAAAAGUUACCUCGGGGAUAACAGGCUUAUCUCCCCCAAGAGUUCACAUCGACGGGGAGGUUUGGCACCUCGAUG